UACGUAGGGUGCAAGCGUUGUCCGGAAUUAUUGGGGCGUAAAGAGCUCGUAGGCGGUCUGUCACGUCGGCUGUGAAAACCCCGAGGCUCAACCUCGGGCCUGCAGUCGAUACGGGCAAACUAGAGUACUGCAGGGGAGACUGGAAUUCCUGGUGUAGCGGUGAAAUGCGCAGAUAUCAGGAGGAACACCGGGUGGCGAAGGCGGUCCCCUGGGCCGGAACUGACGCUGAGGCGCGAAAGCGUGGGUAGCAAACGGG
rnacentral:rRNA from 1 species